AAACCAUGACGAGGGCACCUCAGUAAGAGAUCCUUAUACCUUUCCCAUGCUUCAUACAAUGACUCUGAAUCUUGUUGGUAAAAGUUUGAAAUUUCAUUCCUUAGCUU